CAGCCACCCCAGGUGUCUGUCCCAGAGCUGCCCCUAAGCCUGACCUCUGAGGGGCCUUGCAGGGAACCCAGCAGCCAGGUGGACUUUUCCAGCUCUGGAUGAAUGUGAACAGGGCCAUGCCUGGGGCCGAGUCAUCGCUUGCUCACCGACCUUCGGGAUCCUCCACCUGAGGGCCAGAAUGCUCUCCGGUGCUCGAGCCCUGUUAGGAUGCAUGGUAGGAGGUCUCCAUCUCUUGCCUGGACCCCAGCUCCAUGGGGCAGACAGCAUGUGCCUGGCACACAAGAACACAAUAAAUACCGACUGCAAGGGACACAAAGGUAACUGGGGCAGGAUGCGUGGCCUGGUGUGGAUGCUCAAUGCAAUGAGCUACUAUUGUUCACUGAGCCAUGAAGGGGGAGGCGGGGCCUGAGAUCCACAGCCUCCGCGGUUUGUGCAUGAGGAUAGGCAGGUGCACCCCUCCUUUCCGGAGGCUGUCCCCCCCAGGCCCCUCCCAGCGCUGUGGCAAGGUAGGCCCCAGUGGCCAGCUUGGCAGAGGGGCGUGAGGGCCCUGCCACGUGCUCCUCCCCCAGAACAGGGGGCAGGCUGCUCUCUGGCCCACGCUGGAAAGGGGGGCAGAGGCCAGGUCCCCUCCCUGGAGCCCGCACCCUGGUGAGGGAGGCCUUGAGAGCUGGUUUCCUUCCUGCAUCAGGGCUCUGUAUUGACAGAGCUCCUCUAUAGCAGGCCCAGGGCUCGCAGCUCAUGGGUGUGAAAAAACCUUGCCCAGGACACAGUGGACUGACUGGAUCCCGAUGUGGAU
rnacentral:lncRNA from 1 species